rnacentral:rRNA from 1 species
UAAGUGGAGGAAAAGAAACUAACAAGGAUUCCCCUAGUAACGGCGAGUGAAGCGGGAAGAGCUCAAAUUUAAAAUCUGGCAGUCUACGAUUGUCCGAAUUGUAAUCUCGAGAAGUGUUUUCCGCGUUGGCCUGUGCACAAGUCCCUUGGAACAGGGCGUCAUAGAGGGUGAGAAUCCCGUCCUUGGCACAGAUACCCAAUGCUUUGUGAUACACUCUCAAUGAGUCGAGUUGUUUGGGAAUGCAGCUCAAAAUGGGAGGUAAAUUCCUUCUAAAGCUAAAUACUGGCGAGAGACCGAUAGCGAACAAGUACCGUGAGGGAAAGAUGAAAAGCACUUUGGAAAGAGAGUCAAACAGUACGUGAAAUUGUUGAAAGGGAAACGAUUGAAGUCAGUCGUGCCUGCCUAGAUUCAGCCUUCUGGUGUAUUUCUAGGUCGGCAGGUCAGCAUCAGUUUGGGAGGGUUAACAAGGGGAUUAGGAAUGUGGCAACCUCGGUUGUGUUAUAGCCUAGUUUCGUAUUGAUCUUGCUGGACUGAGGAACGCAGUGCGCCCGCAAGGUAGGUCUUCGGACACUUUCGCACUUAGGAUGCUGGCAUAAUGGCUUUAAACGACCCGUCUUGAAACACG